UUGAAGAGUUUGAUCCUGGCUCAGAACGAACGUUGGCGGCGUGCUUAAUACAUGCAAGUCGCGGGAGAAACCCGGGGCAACUCGGGGAGUAAACCGGCGAAAGGGUGCGUAAUACAUAGACAACGUACCCUCCGGUUCGGGAUAACUCCGCGAAAGCGGGGCUAAUACCGGGCGACGACGAGAUGGGGCAUCCCGUUUCGUCCAAAGCCGCAAGGCGCCGGAGGAGCGAUCUAUGGCCUAUCAGCUAGUUGGCGGGGUAACGGCCCACCAAGGCUUUGACGGGUAGCCGGACUGAGAGGUUGACCGGCCACACGGGAACUGAGACACGGUCCCGACACCUACGGGUGGCAGCAGUAGGGAAUAUUGCGCAAUGGGCGAAAGCCUGACGCAGCGACGCCGCGUGGGGGAUGAAGCCUUUCGGGGUGUAUACCCCUUUCGACCCGGACGAAACCUCCCGAGCAAUCGGGAUUUGACGGUACGGGUAUAAGACGCCCCGGCUAACUACGUGCCAGCAGCCGCGGUAAGACGUAGGGGGCCAGCGU
rnacentral:rRNA from 1 species